UCAGAAACUAUCGCCGCCACCCCCCCUUUACCCAUCGGACCAUCGGUUAAAGCUGAUUCGGCGUCACUGACGCCACCUUCCAUCAACCCCUGUCCCUUUCUCCCUUUUUCUUCAAGUGACAGAGCUUCGAACAGCUCGUCCAAUCGAAUCAGCCCCUAAAUCGAAAAGCACGCAAAUGUCUUUGGGAUUCUAGACCGCUCUUCCAACAAUCCAUAGGCUAAAGGCUUGUUUCAGUCCGUUGGAGUCUAAAAUCAUAAAGAAUCCACUAAAUUCGAAGUCCCAACGAAUUUGUAGCUUUCAAAUCCAUCUGAAAAGUUCUCGGCCAAGCAAAAACUACUUCGAGCGGAUUCAAAGACUCGACGAUGACAAUAGCCUUAGUUCGCUGUCCCGAAGAAGGUAAUCACACUCGUCUUCUCUUCGUCUUUAAUUUCCUAGAAGUAAAAUGUAGUCGUCGAGUCGUUUUGUCUUUUGUAUCGUCUCGACCUAUUUAAAUAUUUUUGUUGCUCUGUGUGCUCUGAAUUUGUGAUGAAAUAGUUAAUGCAAGCUAUUAUACUUAGAAAGAAUGAUAAUUUAGCAUGAAGAACAUGUGAACAGUGAUGUCGUCUUGCUUUAAAUUAGUUUUCUUUAAUCUUGAGGGGUUGUUUCGGUUUACCGUUUUGGUGUGCUUAUACAGUGUAGCAAAGGUUUUUCUGGUUAUUUGAAUAAGAAUAAGAAUGCACUUUUUUUCGGUCUUGUUCAUAUGAUGUACUAGUGUAAGAUGUAUAUAGGGAUAUAUAACUAAUUGAAGUGUCUUUGUGGAGCUUAAGUUCUGUUUGGGGUGAUUAAUGAAUUCAUUUUUUUUUCUUCAUAUUAUUGAUUCUGAGAAAUCGUAAGAAAAAUAGCUUCGUUCGUUCAACUUGGCGGAUGUGUGAUUAACAUGUCGCUCGUGUAAAUUCUAUUUUUUUUUCUGGGGGGCUGUUUUUGCGAUGAACCUUUCUUGAAAUCGAUGUGUAAAUAUUCUAUGGUAUCUUAUGACUUGAGAGGAAAAAGUUACUAUUUUGAUUAGAGAAAAGUUACUGGUUUUGAUCUUUAAAAAAAAAAGGUAAGGAAGCAUCAGGGAGCAGUAGGUCGUAGUCCUAAAACCCCUUAUGCAUUAAGUGCAUGUUGCCUAUCUUCUAUCUCAAUGACAAGUUUGGUUAAGCUUAUUAUGAGUUUGUGAGUUCUGUUGUUAUGGCUAUAGGAUUUUCAGAUUUUUACAUGAACUUAACCAUCCAUGAAUAUAUGAACCUGUCCGCUCGUGAAUAAAAUCUGAACAUAUUUGAAUCCAGUGACUGCUUUUUCCUAUUUAUGGACGCCCAUGAAAGAAUAGUAUGAAACAGUGUAACAUGUCGUUAAUCAAUAGCUAAGUGUCUCUCUUCUCUGUUUUAUUAUUUGGUCAUUGUAACUUAGAAGCCAUAAGAAUACAAAACGCUGUUAUAAUGGCCUGCUGGUUUGUGUUUUCAAAUUAAUGAUAUUUUAAUUUGUUUAUAAAAAGUAUGUGCGUCACUAGUGUGUAAGAGUUUACCUACAUUCACAUAAGGUUAACAUAAGCUGUGAAUAAUCCUUCAAUAGUUUGUUCGAGAUCAAGAUGGUACAUUUAGAAACUACGGCUGUAGGAAUGGUAUUUCUUGUCAAUUGUUAAAAGUUAUUUGGUUCAGUUUUUGGUCUUCUGUAUUAUGCUUCAGUAUAUAAUAUACCUAAGAGGAUUUGACUUGGGGAUUGAAGAAUGGCUAAAGCUUUCAUCUUUAAAGUACCUCUUUGUUAAAACUCUAUCUUUAGUCUAAUUGAAGAUUGUUUGAAGUUUGUGUUUUCUCUUAAAGUAGUUAGCCUUUGGGAGGAAGUAGCAUAUUUGAAUGGGACUAUCUGUUUCUCUUGAAAUGGAUAACACUUGAAGCAAGUGAAAUGCCAUAUGUGUGUUGAGUCAAAACCUUAUUGGAUUACCUGAACUUAUUUUUGGAUUAGUGCAUUUAUGUUUCCACGAAAGAAAAAAAAAGAUUAUAUUUAUAGUUUGGUUGCUGGUGUACCUCCCUUUUGAUAAGGUUGUUGAUACUUAAAACCAUGAAUUCGUUGCCCUUUUUGAGCUUGAAUGACUUGAUUUUUUCAGAUUUUGGAAAAAUUAAAACUUGCAUAAAAGAGGGAGUGGGGCUGCUAUAUUCAAGUUCUGGUGCAAUUAAUAUGCUGACUUAUUUCUCCUUAGUUGAACCUAGAGAAAAUAUGCUAAGUAUCUCUGGAUAUAUGUUGUUUAGGAAUAAGACAAUAUGAUGUUUUGAAGUUUGAGUAAGCUUUAGUUUAAUCAAAAGUUCUUGUUGUACAUUUAGCUUGAAGCGCUUGGUUGUUUGAGUACCAAUUGGGACUACAAUGAUCUUCUUUUAAACUGAUCGUGGUGUUGUGUUCUGAGAAUGUGACAUGAGAAAGUCUGUCUUACAUAUGAUUCUUUUAUCUGGCUUUAUUAAUUAAAGUUAUAUAAACUUCUUUCUCCUUGUUAAUAAUAGUUUCUAAUCCUUAUCUUCAUCUUCUUCUUUUUUGAUGAGCACCCUUGGGAGGGCAUUUGGAGUUAUAGUACAACUCUGACUUGUUCCAAGAUCUGAAGCAUCAGUAACAUAUUCAUGUGCUCGCAUCUAGCAGCCUUCGUUCAUGUCAAGAGUCGACGUCCUUCUUCCUCUCAAAUUUUGUCACAUUUCAUAGAUUAAGAUAUAUAUUACCUUGUGACUAACAUUUUGCUCUUUGCAUUGACUACUUUGCUUUGUUUUGUUGGGGUUGUACAAGCCAUUUAAGUGUGUUAGUAAACUUAGU